UACGUAGGGUGCGAGCGUUGCCCGGAUUUAUUGGGCGUAAAGAGCUUGUAGGCGGUUUGUCGCGUCUGCUGUGAAAAUCCGGGGCUCAACCCCGGACUUGCAGUGGGUACGGGCAGACUAGAGUGGUGGUAGGGGAGACUGGAAUUCCGUGGUGUAGCGGUGAAAUGCGCAGAAUAUCAGGAGGAACACCGAUGGCGGAAGGCAGGUCUCUGGGCCACU
rnacentral:rRNA from 1 species